GGAGGAGCUUGCGUCACAUUAGUUAGUUGGUGGGGUAAAGGCCUACCAAGACUAUGAUGUGUAGCCGGGCUGAGNGGUUGAACGGCCACAUUGGGACUGAGACACGGCCCAAACUCCUACGGGAGGCAGCAGUAGGGAAUUUUCGGCAAUGGAGGAAACUCUGACCGAGCAACGCCGCGUGAACGAUGAAGUAUUUCGGUACGUAAAGUUCUUUUAUUAGGGAAGAAUAAAUGAUGGAAAAAUCAUUCUGACGGUACCUAAUGAAUAAGCCCCGGCUAACUAUGUGCCAGCAGCCGCGGUAAUACAUAGGGGGCAAGCGUUAUCCGGAAUUAUUGGGCGUAAAGGGUGCGUAGGCGGUUAAAUAAGUUUAUGGUCUAAGUGCAAUGCUCAACAUUGUGAUGCUAUAAAAACUGUUUAGCUAGAGUAAGAUAGAGGCAAGUGGAAUUCCAUGUGUAGUGGUAAAAUGCGUAAAUAUAUGGAGGAACACCAGUAGCGAAGGCGGCUUGCUGGGUCUUUACUGACGCUGAGGCACGAAAGCGUGGGGAGCAAACAGGAUUAGAUACCCUGGUAGUCCACGCCGUAAACGAUGAGUACUAAACGUUGGGUAAAACCAGUGUUGAAGUUAACACAUUAAGUACUCCGCCUGAGUAGUACGUACGCAAGUAUGAAACUUAAAGGAAUUGACGGGACUCCGCACAAGCGGUGGAUCAUGUUGUUUAAUUCGAAGGUACCCGAAAAACCUCACCAGGUCUUGACAUGCUUCUGCAAAACUGUAGAAACACAGUGGAGGUUAUCAGUUGCACAGGUGGUGCAUGGUUGUCGUCAGCUCGUGUCGUGAGAUGUUGGGUUAAGUCCCGCAACGAGCGCAACCCUUAUUGUUAGUUACCAGCACGUAAUGGUGGGGACUUUAGCAAGACUGCCGGUGAUAAAU
rnacentral:rRNA from 1 species